rnacentral:tRNA from 1 species
GCCAAAAUAGCUCACUUGGGAGAGCGUUAGAUUGAAGAUCUAAAGGUCUCUGAUUUAAUCCCGUUUUUUUCU